rnacentral:rRNA from 1 species
UACAGAGGGUCUCGAGCGUUGUUCGGAUCAUUGGGCGUAAAGGGUGCGUAGGCGGAUCUGCAAGUCGGGGGUGAAAUCCCGAGGCUCAACCUCGGAACUGCCUUCGAUACUGCGGGUCUCGAGUCCGGGAGAGGUGAGUGGAAUUCCUAGUGUAGAGGUGAAAUUCGUAGAUAUUAGGAAGAACACCAGUGGCGAAGGCGGACUCACUGGCCCGGUACGUGACGCUGAGGCGCGAAAGCGUGGGGAGCAAACAGG